rnacentral:rRNA from 1 species
UGGCGAGUGGCGAACGGGUGAGUAAUACAUCGGAACGUGUCCUGUAGUGGGGGAUAGCCCGGCGAAAGCCGGAUUAAUACCGCAUACGAUCUACGGAAGAAAGCGGGGGAUCGCAAGACCUCGCGCUAUAGGGGCGGCCGAUGGCAGAUUAGCUAGUUGGUGGGGUAAAGGCCUACCAAGGCGACGAUCUGUAGCUGGUCUGAGAGGACGACCAGCCACACUGGGACUGAGACACGGCCCAGACUCCUACGGGAGGCAGCAGUGGGGAAUUUUGGACAAUGGGGGAAACCCUGAUCCAGCAAUGCCGCGUGUGUGAAGAAGGCCUUCGGGUUGUAAAGCACUUUUGUCCGGAAAGAAAACUUCUGCCCUAAUACGGUGGGAGGAUGACGGUACCGGAAGAAUAAGCACCGGCUAACUACGUGCCAGCAGCCGCGGUAAUACGUAGGGUGCGAGCGUUAAUCGGAAUUACUGGGCGUAAAGCGUGCGCAGGCGGUUCGUUAAGACAGAUGUGAAAUCCCCGGGCUUAACCUGGGAACUGCAUUUGUGACUGGCGAGCUAGAGUAUGGCAGAGGGGGGUAGAAUUCCACGUGUAGCAGUGAAAUGCGUAGAGAUGUGGAGGAAUACCGAUGGCGAAGGCAGCCCCCUGGGCCAAUACUGACGCUCAUGCACGAA